AUUGAACGCUGGCGGCAUGCUUUACACAUGCAAGUCGAACGGUAACAGGCCGCAAGGUGCUGACGAGUGGCGAACGGGUGAGUAAUGCAUCGGAACGUGCCCAGUCGUGGGGGAUAACGCAGCGAAAGCUGCGCUAAUACCGCAUACGAUCUAUGGAUGAAAGCGGGGGACCGAAAGGCCUCGCGCGAUGGGAGCGGCCGAUGUCAGAGUAGGUAGUUGGUGGGGUAAAGGCUCACCAAGCCAACGAUCUGUAGCUGGUCUGAGAGGACGACCAGCCACACUGGGACUGAGACACGGCCCAGACUCCUACGGGAGGCAGCAGUGGGGAAUUUUGGACAAUGGGCGCAAGCCUGAUCCAGCAAUGCCGCGUGCAGGAAGAAGGCCUUCGGGUUGUAAACUGCUUUUGUACGGAACGAAACGGUCUGGGUUAAUACCUCGGGCUAAUGACGGUACCGUAAGAAUAAGCACCGGCUAACUACGUGCCAGCAGCCGCAGUAACAC
rnacentral:rRNA from 1 species